CUCUCGAAACUUCCUUCAGCUGACUGAUUCCGGAAUACCCAACGUCCGAAUGAAUUUACAUAACGGUUAUCUCGAUCGACGAGAGAUUUUGUGCAUGGUCGUCGAGCGUUUAAUUUUGAAAUCGAGUCCGAAGCACACCACGGAUUUCCUUUUAUCGGCAACUAGUAGAAUUUUUCGCGUUAUACGAGCAUCCGCCGAUAGAUGGCGUCGAUACUCUCGCACACUCGCAACGAAUCCUCCUCUUCCUCCUCAACCACCUCUUCCUACCCUCCUUCUUCACAGCCUCAUCCUCUUCCUCCUCUACCGUCACCUCAUCGUCGUUCUCCUUCUAUUCCUCCUCCUCCUCCUCCUCCUCCUCUACCUCCUACUCCUACUCCUACUCCUACUCCUACUCCUCCACCUCGUCGUUCUAUUCAUCGUCCUCGUUCGCCAUUUUGUCCUCCUCCUCUUCCAUCUCGUCAGGAAGCUUCAGCCGACCCUGACGCAAGCGCCUCUUUCUCAUUCUCAUUCUCUAUUUCUAUCUCUUUCUCUUUCUCUAUCUCUCUUUCUUUCUCUUAUACGAGACGACGUACGUAUGUAUAUACCAUUCCGUGUGUCUCGAUCCGCACCGACGGCAUUCGUGCUUUCCCCAAAGCGCGUCAUCGUCAUUACCCUUUGAGCGUGAAUCACGCAUUAAGAUCGAUUCACACUCAGCGAGCAAGUAACACAGACCGAAUCAUAAAAAUUUAUAUACGUACAUAAAUACACAUACGUCUUAUACCCUUUUCAGUUCCUAUUGAAAUACGACAUUGCGUCUCGUAAAAUAUAGAUAGAUAGCAUAGAUAGAGAAGGUGAAAAAAAUAGCAAGAGAGAGAGAGAGAGAGAGAGUGUGAGUGAAAAAAUAAACCAACAAUGAGAAUUAUAUUAUCCAGCUGCGUUCACAUCGAACGUACGAUGUUCCUUGGAAACAAACGAGACGUAACGUCGUUUGAAGGAGAUAACAUUAAAGGAUGAAUAAUAUUGAGUGCAAUGGCAAUUGGAUUUUAUAUGAAUUUUUUUUUCAUAUUAGAUUUUAUAUAAAAAUAAAAGAAGAGGAGUCAUCGAACGUGCAUAAAUUUGAUCGCUGAUUGAUUGAUAUUAAUGUUAUAUUUUUAUUGUUGAAAUGUUAUAAAUUUGGAAUCUGCAAAAAAAAAAAAAUUGUUAUAGUCUUCUUCUUCUUCUUCUUCUUCUUUAUGUUUCAAAUUUGCCGCCAACCAAGGCUCGGUCGCGAACGAUCGUAAAUUCGAUUACGAAGUUUCAAGUUCUUCGAGUACGAGUUAAAAUAAUGCGUUAUAGAUAUGUAGUUCCGUUUGCCGACGCACAGUGGCGCUGUCACGUAAAGCAGCGCCUCUUAGCGAUAGUAGCGGCACUGUAUUCGUGAGUGGCGGCAGUUGGCAGUCACCAGUGGAACCGCACGGUGUUGUUCUCGUCGUAAGCGGCUACGCGCAAAAGUUUAGGGGAAAAAUGGCGUAGUUAAGGGUACAAAGUAAAUGCCGCGAUUCUUAUAUAUUCGUACGUUAAUUCCGCGCCUGUUAUUCUUACGAUCGUUUUAGGUUCAUACGUAUUAUCAUUAGAAUCGAUAUUCAAAUUCGGGAGUUGGGUGUAAACGAAAAAAAGGAAAAAGAAAAGAAAAAGAGAAAAAAAAAAGAAGAAGAAGAAGAAAAGAAGAAGGAAAAAAAGAAAAGAAAGGAAAGAAUAUCCGAUAUAUUUCUAAGGUAUAGAAAAAAAAUUUCACAUAGGAAAGAGAAAAAUGAGAACGGCGUGUAUGUAAUAACGCGUAAAUAAGUUAAUAAAUAAAAGGUGUAUAAUUCUUAUUCUCGUGCUUAUGGUGAUUUUUUGUGACUCUUACAACAGCGUACUUUUGACAACGAGUUUCUUAUCUCUAUUGAGAGCAAAGAGUUGAAUAAUAUCAUUUAAUUGCUUAUAUCGUGAGAUCGUCAGGAUAUUGAAAUAUUUCAAAAGGGGAUAAAUAUACAUUUUUAACGUCAUUAUGGGGAAAUGGACAUUUUCAUCGAAGAAAAUAGGAUUAUCGAGCUCGUGACAGCUUGACGAGUUGCUGCUGUCGCUGCCACUGUCGUUGCUGCUGCUGCCGCUGCUGUUGCUGCUGCUGCUGCUGCGAGCUGAUUCGCAAGCGUUCGAAGAUGGUGCCAGUGUCGUUUUGACACUUGCCCAAAGAUCCGUCAGCUGGAUUUUAAGAGAAGAGGAACGACGAAUUAAACUAAACUAAACUAAUAACUGAGAACACCAUACAUACACAUCUAAAUAUAUGUAUACGUAUAUAUAUAUAUAUAUAUAGACAUAACACCAAUCAGCUCGCUGUAUUCAUCGAGUAUUAGAAGUUUUAUUAUGAGCAGAGAAUUUUACGUUCCUUGUACACCAUACGCAUAUCAGCAGUGCAGCGGCAGCGGCAGCAGCGGUACAGGUUCGACGGAGGUUGGUGUGGUGGUGGUCUGCGGUAGCAACAGCAGCAACAGCAACAAGAACAAUAGCAAUAACAGUAACAACAACAACAACAACAGCAACAAUAAUAGCAAUAGCAAUAACAACAACAACAUAAGCAACAACGGUGGUGACGUCAGGGGCAGCGGUGGCGGUGGUGUAGGAGGUAGUAGGGUAGUAGACGUCGGUGUAAGCAGCGUUGGAAACGGAGGAAACGUCGUGGUUAGCGGUGGUGUUAGUGGCAUGGAUUGUAUGCCCCACCGUCCGGGACCUUUCCAUUACCUGAUAAACGAGCAAGCGAAAUCGUUGGUGGCCCUGCAGGAGUUGCAGAAUGAGGUCGGCGCCCUUCUCGAGUUCCGGGACCUCGUCAUCGAGACGUUCCCAAACCUCCGGCACAAGAUGGCUGCGACGGCGUCGGCGGGUGCGUCCGUGAUGUCCUCCAGCCAAAAUUCUCAUAUACCAUUGCCUUUGUCGAGUCCAUCGUCUAGGAGGGUUAGCGAAUGGGAACCUGGUAAAGUUAGAAGACGCGUCGUACAGAGAGAACAGGCCGAGUCUUCCUCUUCAUUGCCAAGAAGUCGUAGCAAUUCUCAAAGCGGCGGUACGAAGAACAACUGUAGCGCUACCGUUCAGGAUUCCGGCUUCAGUACGGAGACCUCGUCGAAGGAUAGUGCCUCAACGGCGAUAGCGCCAAGACCUACAAGCCCGCGUCCUUGUGUAUUAGAUGAGGCCGAGGAUGAACUAUGGAAUCUUUUAGAUGUUAUACAUCGUAAAGGUAUUAGGCUACGAGAGGAGGUCGAGUGUCUUCAAGGUCGUUUAGAGAGCGUUACCACGGAGGAUUUAGCAUCGAGCGAUGUAUUGGAAGCCGUUAGAAAGGUAACCCAUCUUGAUAGCGCUGAACAUCCAGAUAGUGCCACCAAUGAUGGUACGACUAAUCUUGAGAUUGAUAAGACGACGAAUGGUAGAGAGUCCCAAGUUAGAGUAUUGAGAAGGGAGAAGGAACAAUUGUUGGAUAAAGUAGCCGAGCUCGAGGCCGAAACAAUAUCGAGUCGUGCUCGUGCACAGGAAUUGCAAACCGAACUGGCCGCUCUGUCGGCAUUAAAGACUGGUCUUGAGGACAGACUGAAGGCCGAAUUGAAUGACUCCGAUCUCUUGUUGACUCCCGGCGCACAGAGAUUGCAACCGAUCGCGCCGGUCGUUUCUACAACACCUAAAAGUGCCAGUGUCAGUAAUAUAAAGAGCAAAUCGUCGGCCUUUGCGUCGGUUUCUAAGACCCACAAAAGUCGUUUUCGUACGAGGACCAUCGAAAAGAAUGUACUUCUCGAUGCGGUGGCUCACGUGGACAAUGAGCGACGUGAAAUCGAUAUCGAAGCAAGCGUGAUCGAAAGAAGGGCCAGAUUAGGAGCAUUGGAUUCCGUCCUAGUUUCGCCUACGAGGGUGACGCACGUUAAGGACGUUGAUUCUGGAAAAAUCGCGGCGAUACUUCGCGAAAGCUCGCCCCUCGAAUUGCAACGGCAUCUUAUCACAACGACUGUUCAUAAUCAAGCCUUGCAAAAAAGGUUGGACGAGGUACAAAAGAGUACGGAAACUCUUUCGGAACGAUUGGAUAAGGCUCGUGAGGAGAACGACGAUCUCCGAUUCCAGUUGGAAGAAAGAAACAUCGAGUUGGAGGGUACGCGUGCUCGCGUUCGUGUCCUCGAACGGCUUCAGCAACGAGCACCAACGGAAGCAGAGCCUGAAGCCGAAAGUGAACAGCCAAGAUGCGAACAAAGUGGUUUAGAGCCUGGUAGUAGUACCGAAUCAGCGAGGGAUCAUCACCAAGCCGUCGAAGUGAAACCGUCACCACGACGACGACCUAGUCGUAUACCUUUACCCGGUUCAACGGGGAAACCGACGGCACCAAGACCACCAAGUCAUGGUAGAAACGAUAGCAGGGAAUCUCUCAAAUCUUUAACGAGGCUACCAAGAGACUCGAGUCGUGACAGUCACUGCGGGAAAUCAUUAUCAAAGACCCGAGACGCCAGUAGAGAGUCUUUAGGGAAUAACAAUAACAAUAAUCACAAUAACAGCAGCAGUGGCAGCAACAACAAUAACAACAACAAUAAUCACAAUAACAACAAAAGCCAAUCUAAGAGUACAAGCAGCGGUAACAGCAGCAACAGCGCCGGCGGCGGCGGCAACAACAUUGGGAAGGAUAACAGCAGGGAUUCCUUGAACAGGUCCCUGCCCCGUAACAAUUCCAGCCGAGACUCCUUAAACAAAUCCUCCUCGCUGUCCCGGGCCCGUGACUCGCUGGAGUCUAGCAAUCUAGGCGGGACUAACCCGUCCCCGGGCACGACUCCUCCUCGACGACCGCCCGCUCCUGCGCGUCGUUCCCACAGCCUGGCUCGCGCGGCGACGUCCGUUGAUACCGACAACGGCAAGGUACGACCAGUAAAACAAUUCUUUUGGAGUAGCUGGCUCAAGUCACCAUUAUCCAAUGGACCGAUCUAGUAAAAAAAAGUACCUACAACAACAACAACAACAACAAACAACAACAACAACAACAACAAAACACAGAGGCCAAACGACGAUCCUAAAUCACGAACCCUCAAUCACAAUCGUCCAAACCAAAACCAAAUCCCCUUUUUCUUCUCUCAAUUUUUACCAUCAAUAGCCGCGAUUUAAUUUUUUUAUUUUAAUCUUCACGUUAAUUAUAUUCUUCCAUCCAAAAAGGACAACCAUUUGGGGACACACUACUAGUUGACAAAAAAAAAAAAAAACAAAAAAAAAGACAAAAAAAAGAAAGGAAAAAAGGAAAAGACCACCCUAUAUUAUAUUUGAUCUCUUAUAAAUCUAUCCUACGAUUAUGCUACAUCUCUACUUAUGCUAUUUCAUUCUAUUCUAUUCUAUUCUAUUAUUACUUAUUGCUAAUCACUAUUCUUAAUUGUAAACAUAGAAAGACAAUAUCUGUCCUAACACACAGUUGAUCAUAUUUAUAAGCUAAGCGUUUAACCGCUACUAAAACUUUCUCUCUCUCUCUUUCUUUCUUUCUUUUUUAUCUUUCCUUCUUUCUUUCUUUCUUUCUUUCUUUCUUUCUUUCUCUAUCCCCUAUUUUUUAUAUUUGAACACACGUCGACGCACCAGUUUCCAAAUCAUCGCCAUCUCCUUUUAACCCUUCCAGCCAUCCAACCUUAGUGACAUCCAACACUUUCGUAAAACUUUAAAUUCAUUUUCCUUAAAUCAUAUUAUAUCAUAUCGACAUAUUUUUUUUCUUUUUUUUUAUUCCCGUUCAUUCCCCUUCCCCCUCUACCCCUUCUCCCCCCCCCUCUCUCUCUCUAUCUCUCUUUUUGAAUCUAUCUCUAUCUUUCUAUCUCUAUCUUUCCUCGAUUCUAUGCUACACACGAGAGCAAAACUACAACAACAACAACAACAACAACAACAACAACAACAACACCGUACGACGUGAUAUAUAUAAACACAGAGACUCGACGGACCGACCAAGUCGACGAGCACGAUGACCCACUUCUUCUCGUAAAUCGAGAAAGAUUUGCCCGAGCCCGAGCCCACCUCUACCUGAUACGAACUGAACGAACCUCCUGGAGCUUAGGCGAGAACGUGCAUUCGAGCCCGUCCAUCGCCCGCCCGUCCGUCCGUCCGUCCGUCCGCCGGUCUGAAAAUAAGAAAAUGGCCCCCCUCACACUCGCGUGUCUCUGUGCCGGCCGGUUUUUUCUCACUCAUUCCGAACCACCAAGUUCCUGGUGUUCAACCAAUAGCAGCAGCUUUCGUCAUAGCGACUCAUCCUUGUAUCCAGACUCAUUGAAUCAAGAAACAUCAUCAGUCACAGGAUCAACACGCGUCGAAUUUAUACUCGG